ACGAAAGUCUGAUGGAGCAACGCCGCGUGAGUGAAGUAAGGGUUUCGGCUCGUAAAACUCUGUUGUUAAAGAAGAACAUAUCUGAGAGUAACUGUUCAGGUAUUGACGGUAUUUAACCAGAAAGCCACGGCUAACUACGUGCCAGCAGCCGCGGUAAUACGUAGGUGGCAAGCGUUGUCCGGAUUUAUUGGGCGUAAAGCGAGCGCAGGCGGUUUUUAAGUCUGAUGUGAAAGCCUUCGGCUCAACCGAAGAAGUGCAUCGGAAACUGGGAAACUUGAGUGCAGAAGAGGACAGUGGAACUCCAUGUGUAGCGGUGAAAUGCGUAGAUAUAUAGGAAAACACCAGUGGCGAAGGCGGCUGUCUGGUCUGUAACUGACGCUGAGGCUCGAAAGUAUGGGUAGCAAACAGGAUUAGAUACCCUGGUAG
rnacentral:rRNA from 1 species